GGGAGUGCCCUGCAAAAUGUGCCUGCUAAGAGGACAACUGGGGAGAGAAAUACAGUAACCUCCAUUAGAAUAUGAGUUCCAUGUAAGACACCUGGUCUUUUCCUCACCCAUCCAAUUCUGUGGCUGGACAAAGUACAUGGCCUAGAAAAUCGACAUGAAGUCAACCAAGAUGGUAAACUAUAAGUGAAAAGUCUGAACACCUUGGAGAAUACCACUUGUGGAGGAGAGAAGCUGGCCCUUUACCUUGGCUAUUAGCACUUAUUCCUAUACCAUCAUCGAGAGAAAGAUAAGUCAAUUACUAAUUCUGUCUACUCCCUUCACCCCCAAUAAUUGACAAGAGAUCUCUUUGGAAACUCAACAUGAUACAGCUAGAUUCAGGUGAAAGACAGAGAAUCUAUGACAAAUAACAAAGGAUGCCAUAGAUGACAAGGAAUGGCCAUGUGACCUAAUUCCAGCCAGAGACACAUGAGGGGAAAUCAUCUGAGUAAUUUUGGAGAAACUUGCCUCUCCUCCAAGAAAGAUCUGCAGAAAGGCAUAUUCUCCCUCCUUCCUCUGCAGCAUUGCCACGUCUGGUAUAUUUCCAGAACUUCUGUAGCCAUCUUGCUACCAGCAUGAGGAUGAAGCCAACAUUAAAAGUGGGAGAAAGGAAAGGUAGUAAGAGGAUGAGUCUUCUAAGAUAUUGCUGAGCAACUGAAUCAACUAACUCUGAAGUCCACUCCACCCCUGGAUUUUCAAUUUACCUGAAAUAAUACACUUCUUUGUUGUUUAAAUCAAGCCAGAGUUUCUUCUACUUGUAGCUAAAAGUGUUCUAAUUGUUAAAAUUCCCAACAGGAAGGCAAAGCAUCUGAACAGAUCUUUUUCAUUCAUUUCCCCAAACCCUCAAAGAAUAGAAGAGUGGUUUCCACUUGCUAUUUCAGUCUCUUAGGGAUUCCUCCUAUCAUAUCCUCCUCUUUCCUGAAUUGGAAUUUGUUCCUCUUUGUAUCUC